AGCGGAAACAGGAGAAGCUUGCUUCUCGCUGUCGAGCGGCGGACGGGUGAGUAAUGCUUAGGAAUUUGCCCUUUGGAGGGGGAUAACCAUUGGAAACGAUGGCUAAUACCGCAUGAUACCUACGGGUCAAAGGGGGCUUUUAGCUCCCGCCAAAGGAUAAGCCUAAGUGAGAUUAGCUAGUUGGUGAGGUAAAGGCUCACCAAGGCGACGAUCUCUAGCUGGUUUGAGAGGAUGAUCAGCCACACUGGAACUGAGACACGGUCCAGACUCCUACGGGAGGCAGCAGUGGGGAAUAUUGCACAAUGGGGGAAACCCUGAUGCAGCCAUGCCGCGUGUGUGAAGAAGGCCUUCGGGUUGUAAAGCACUUUCAGUCGUGAGGAAAGGUUAAUGGUUAAUACCCAUUAGCUGUGACGUUAGCGACAGAAGAAGCACCGGCUAACUCCGUGCCAGCAGCCGCGGUAAUACGGAGGGUGCGAGCGUUAAUCGGAAUUACUGGGCGUAAAGCGCACGCAGGUGGUUACAUAAGCUAGAUGUGAAAGCCCCGAGCUCAACUUGGGAUAGUCAUUUAGAACUAUGUAACUAGAGUACGAGAGAGGGUGGUAGA
rnacentral:rRNA from 1 species